GAACCGUGCGAACGUUGUUCGGAAUCACUGGGCUUAAAGGGCGCGUAGGCGGACGACCAAGUCGGGGGUGAAAUCUUUCGGCUCAACCGGAAAAUAGCUUUCGAUACUGGCCGUCUUGAGCGAGGUAGGGGCAUGCGGAACUUCCGGUGGAGCGGUGAAAUGCGUUGAUAUCGGAAGGAACUCCGGUGGCGAAAGCGGCGUGCUGGACCUCUUCUGACGCUGAGGCGCGAAAGCUAGGGGAGCAAACGGGAUUAGAUACCCCGGUAGUCCUAGCCCUAAACGUUGGGUACUAGGUUGUGGACUAGACAUGGGUUCACAGCCGAAGCAAAAGUGCUAAGUACCCCGCCUGGGGAGUAUGGUCGCAAGGCUGAA
rnacentral:rRNA from 1 species